rnacentral:rRNA from 1 species
AGCAGCCACGGUAAUUCCAGCUCCAAUAGCGUAUAUUAAAGUUGCUGCAGUUAAAAAGCUCGUAGUUGAAUUUCGGGACCAUCAUGUCGGUCGUGCCUCGGUACGUACUGGCAUUGUUGGUUUCUUCCUUCUGACGAACCAUGAAUGUCAUUUAUUUGGUGUCGUGGGGAAAUCAGGACUGUUACUUUGAAAAAAUUAGAGUGUUUAAAGCAGGCUCACGCUUGAAUACAUUAGCAUGGAAUAAUGAGAUAGGAUGUUUGAUUCUAUUUUGUUGGUUUUUAGGAUCGACGUAAUGAUUAAUAGGGAUAGUUGGGGGCAUUAGUAUUCAAUUGUCAGAGGUGAAAUUCUUGGAUUUAUUGAAGACUAACUACUGCAAAAGCAUUUGCCAAGGAUGUCUUCAUUAAUCAAGAACGAAAGUUAGGGAUCGAAGACGAUCAGAUACCGUCGUAGUCUUAACCAUAAACUAUGCCGACUAGGGAUUGGAUGAUGUUAAUUUUUUAAUGACUCAUUCGGCGCCUUA